rnacentral:rRNA from 1 species
UACGGAGGGGGCUAGCGUUGUUCGGAAUUACUGGGCGUAAAGCGCACGUAGGCGGCUUUGUAAGUUAGAGGUGAAAGCCCGGGGCUCAACUCCGGAACUGCCUUUAAGACUGCAUCGCUAGAAUUGUGGAGAGGUGAGUGGAAUUCCGAGUGUAGAGGUGAAAUUCGUAGAUAUUCGGAAGAACACCAGUGGCGAAGGCGACUCACUGGACACAUAUUGACGCUGAGGUGCGAAAGCGUGGGGAGCGAACAGG